rnacentral:rRNA from 1 species
AGUGAACGCUGGCGGCAGGCCUAACACAUGCAAGUCGAACGGCAGCACAGGAGAGCUUGCUCUCUGGGUGGCGAGUGGCGGACGGGUGAGGAAUAUAUCGGAAUCUACCCUUUCGUGGGGGAUAACGUAGGGAAACUUACGCUAAUACCGCAUACGAACUGAGGUUGAAAGCGGCGGACCGCAAGGCGUCGCGCGGAUGGAUGAGCCGAUAUCCGAUUAGCUAGUUGGUGGGGUAAAGGCCACCAAGGCGACGAUCGGUAGCUGGUCUGAGAGGAUGAUCAGCCACACUGGAACUGAGACACGGUCCAGACUCCUACGGGAGGCAGCAGUGGGGAAUAUUGGACAAUGGGCGCAAGCCUGAUCCAGCCAUGCCGCGUGUGUGAAGAAGGCCUUCGGUUGGUUAAGUACGACUUCUAGCGAGGAGGAAGGGAGGUAGUGUUAAG